rnacentral:rRNA from 1 species
CAUCACUACGCUAGAUGCAUAUCAAUAAGCGGAGGAAAAGAAACUAACAAGGAUUCCCCUAGUAACGGCGAGUGAAGCGGGAAGAGCUCAAAUUUGAAAUCUUAAAGGGUUUCCCUUUACGAAUUGUAGUUUAAAGAAGUGUUUUCUGUUGGAGUUUCGGUAAAAGUUCUUUGGAAUAGGACAUCAUAGAGGGUGAGAAUCCCGUAUUUGACCGUUACUUUCCAGCUGUGUGAUACACUUUCAAAGAGUCGGAUUGUUUGGGAAUGCAGUCCAAAAUGGGUGGUAAAUUUCAUCUAAAGCUAAAUAUUGGCGAGAGACCGAUAGCGAACAAGUACCGUGAGGGAAAGAUGAAAAGAACUUUGAAAAGAGAGUUAAACAGUACGUGAAAUUGUCAAAAGGGAAGCGUUUGACACCAGUGUUGUUUAGUUGAAAAUCAAUUCAAUAGUUUUUGAUUCUAAGUAGUAUUGACUUCAUCAGCUUGCUGCUUUCUUCUCAGAAAUUAUUGAAUGCACUUUUCAGUUAACAAGUCAACAUCAAUUUCUUUUGUUGUAGAAGGGUAAGAGGAAGGUGGCUUGCGCUUCGGCUCAAGUGUUUAUAGCCUUUUAUCUCUGCAAUCGGAGAGAUUGAGGUCUGCAGCGUAGAUCCUUCGGGGUUAGAUACAUUGGUGCUAAGCUAUAGCCUUGUAUAGACAACUUGUUGACUAUGCUCAGUCAUGUAGCUUACUCGCUGAUGCUAUUUUACCUACGCUUAGGAUGUUGACACACGCGCGUGCUCG